rnacentral:rRNA from 1 species
GGAAUCUUGCGCAAUGGGCGAAAGCCUGACGCAGCAACGCCGCGUGCGGGAUGAAGGCCUUCGGGUUGUAAACCGCUUUUAACAGGAACGAAAAUGACGGUACCUGCAGAAUAAGGUGCGGCCAACUACGUGCCAGCAGCCGCGGUGACACGUAGGCACCAAGCGUUGUCCGGAUUUAUUGGGCGUAAAGAGCUCGUAGGCGGUUCAGGUAGUCGGGUGUGAAAACUCUGGGCUCAACCCAGAGACGCCACCCGAUACUCCUGUGACUAGAGUUCGGUAGGGGAGCGGGGAAUUCCUAGUGUAGCGGUGAAAUGCGCAGAUAUUAGGAGGAACACCGGUGGCGAAGGCGCCGCUCUGGGCCGAUACUGACGCUGAGGAGCGAAAGCGUGGGUAGCAAACAGGAUUAGAUACCCUGGUAGUCCACGCCGUAAACGGUGGGCACUAGGUGUGGGUUCCAACCAACGGGAUCCGCGCCGUCGCUAACGCAUUAAGUGCCCCGCCUGGGGAGUACGGCCGCAAGGUUAAAACUCAAAGGAAUUGACGG